ensembl:ncRNA lncRNA:CRG CASK regulatory gene
UUUUAUUCAGCAUUUAGUCAAAACAGCAUUAAACGCUUAUGUAAAUCUUGCACUUGUUAGUGUCUAAGUUAAAUGGAGUUAGACAAAUCGAAACUGAAGCACUCCAAAUUGUUUUUACCUAAUGAUUAUUUCCGGUAAGAGUCUUGUGUGCAGGUAGGGCGUCGAACGAGUUAGUAAAUUAUAGAAAAACUACGUAAUUAAAUAUAAUUAAACAUAGACACAAGGAGACACAACAGCAAAAAGAACACGAAGAACAGAAAAAAUAAACAAAUUACGAUGUGAGCAAUUUCAAGUGUUUCAAGCCAAGUAAGAACUAAUUAAUAACAUAUGGAAAAUCAACUGAAGACAGUGGUGACGCAAAGUGCACGUUUUAAAUGCAAUAAAAAGGAAGGUAACAGAAAAACAAAAAAUAAAAUUAAUUCAGAUCACAACACUUACACACGGAGGAAAAAGAAAAAAAAAACAUAUAAAACCAAAAUACCAAAUUGUUGACGUUUAAUUGAAUUCCAUGAGAAAUGAGUAAGCCACAAAAAAAAUGCAAUAAAACAUAAUAAAACAAAAAAUACAUAAUAAUAAUUGCAGCCGCGUUUAAUUCAAGCAAAAGCAAAGUAAACAAAUGGAAAAAACAUAGAGUGAGCACAAAACACACAUACUAACUGCAAUUACGAAUUAAAAUAAUUAGCGAAAGGAUGAGGAGAUUGCAGGUCAACGCAAAACAGGCAGAUAAACGUAUAAAUAUAUAUGACAAAAACAAAAUGAAAGUAGGAAAUUCAGAAAAUAUGUAUACACAACACAUAUAUAUAUUUUUCGAACAACUCAAACUCAGGUUGGAUACAUUGAAAAUCAGUCAAGUUCAAUAAGAAUAAUAUAGCGGAGCGCUUCCUUUUAACCCACAGCCAAAAACGAGAACUCAACAAGGAGACCCAAAACCGAAUCGAAUCGAAUAAGAUCCUAAGUCGCUUUGCAUUGAAUUGAAUUGAAUUGAAUUAAUCGUAAACCCACUGGCCCAGUAACCACCCAAGCAAGCAGCAGCUUCAAAUUUUCGAGAUACUUUACAAUGACACCGACAAACUGUCUUAGCAAUGAAGAAACCUGGCAUUUUUUUUAGUGCAGCUUCAUGAUCAGCAACCAGCGCUCAGUAUUUCCGCUUUUUCCCUCACUGUAGCCCCCACAUGGGAGAUAUUCAGUUUCGAAAGAAAAUUGGUAAUUUUGAAUUAGCUUCCCUAACAUAGAGCUUCUGAGAUGGACGAAACAGAAACAGAAUUUAGACUACGUCUACGAAGUUCACAAGCAAUCACAUACUACAUGUAGUUGAUGAGUCCCAAGAACACGUAGUUACUUUGGGUUAGGAUCGGAUCGAAGAUAUGUCACAAACACUGGAGAUCGAACUUAGUAGUUAACCAACACACAUUUGUAUACACGUGCCACACAAUUCUCUAGCUGUCCCUCAAAACAAUUUAAGCCUGAGCUUAUAUUCGAGCCCAACCACACGACCCACUUGAAUUUCCCAACCGCACACCACACAAGUUGAAGAACAUACUUAUAUCCAGAACAAUUCUAUGGUUUCAAAAUGGUUGAACAAUUUUGCAUAGAGUAUUAUCGUUAGACGCUGGGCUAUAACUUUUCGGUUCUGAGCGUGGAUGAAGAUGAGAUGAAGAUAGCAGCGAUGAAGUUAAGGAGAGGCAAUGCAAAUCAUAGAAGUAUCCCAAAAAAGAAGAACAACCGAACCUACCCGAAAAACUGAAGAACUAACUACCUACCCACAACCACAAAUGCAGCCAAGUGGCCAAAUUAACUAAGUAUUAUACCUUAAAGCGAACGAUAGAUUGAACGAACGGACGAGACGAGAUGAGAUGAGAUGAGAUCAGAUAGGAGGAGGAACCUUAUAGAUGACACGGCUUGAGAUAGAUGUAUGUACAUUUUGAAGCUCCCCCAACCAGGCUAAGUGUGCCAGAAAACACCAAAAAUCGAUGAAAUGAUUAGGAAAAGAAUGCUCAAAUCAAAAUCUUAUAUUUUACGGUAUUACAAUGAUUAGGAACGAUUGAAAUGAAUUGGAAAUGGGGGGUAAAAAAAGAAAACGAUACCGACAGAGAGUAUCCUGAGAUUGAGCUAGGAUUUCGAAUGAUUCGUUUCGUACUUUUACUUGAUCCUUUUUUCUUAGCCGAUGCGAGCAGAUUGUAGCUGUACUCUAAGAAUAAUUUCACACUAAGAUUAAGUAAAAAUUUAUUGUUGAUAUUACAUAAAAAAAAAAGAAAAGGAAGACGCAGAAGUGAGAUGAACACGGUCGCGUAAACCAAAUGAAUUAGAAUUUUUCUCUAAUUUCAUAAGUCAAUGAUCAUUAUGAUGAUGAUAUGAUACCGAGGGUAACGAUGGUAAAGAUGAGUUGAAAAUGCUUAUGAUCUCCAAUGUCAAUAUGUGUAGAUUGACGCGAUUUGAGCUAAUUGAGUGAAUUGUUAUUAUAAUAAUAAAUGAAGUGAAAUGAAUGGAUCGGCAGAUCGAUCGAUCGUUUGGGGCGCAGAAGGCCGCGGUGUUAGUAAAUAUCAUUUAAAAUAAAUGAUAAAAAUGUCAUUAUAUAUACAUAGUUUAAACAUGGGAUUAAUAAUAAUAAAUUAAAUGAAAAAGAACCGAAGAAACUGGAAUGAGAAUUAAAUAAAAACGAGUAAACACUG